rnacentral:rRNA from 1 species
ACUCAAAUGAAUAGACGGGGGCCCGCACAAGCAGUGGAGCAUGUGGUUUAAUUCGACGCAACGCGAAGAACCUUACCUAGGCUUGAAACGCAAGCUAAACCUGAUGAAAGUCGGGGUGCCGCAAGGCGAGCUUGUACAGGUGCUGCAUGGCUGUCGUCAGCUCGUGCCGUGAGGUGUUGGGUUAAGUCCCGCAACGAGCGCAACCCUCGUUUUUAGUUGCCACCAGGUAAUGCUGAGCACUCUAAAAAGACUGCCUACGCAAGUAGUGAGGAAGGUGGGGAUGACGUCAAGUCCGCAUGGCCCUUACGCCUAGGGCCACACACGUGCUACAAUGGCCAUUACAAAGGGCUGCAAUACCGCGAGGUGGAGCCAAUCCCUAAAAAAUGGUCUCAGUUCGGAUUGGAGUCUGCAACUCGACUCCAUGAAGCUGGAAUUGCUAGUAAUCGCGCAUCAGCACGGCGCGGUGAAUACGUUCCCGGGCCUUGUACACACCGCCCGU